rnacentral:rRNA from 1 species
GCCUAAAAUCUAGCCCACACAAAUCUUAUGUAAUCCUCAACCUAUUGUUCUACAACAAAACAUUUUUAUAUUCUAGUACAGGAGAUCGAAAAAUUCCUAAGAGCUUCAGAUAAAGUACCGCAAGGGAACGAUGAAAUAAAAAUGAAAUAAUUCUAAAGCCCUAAAUAGCAAAGAUAAGCCCUUG